AAAGGGUGUUGGGAACAGUUCCAAGAGGGUGGGCUGUGAGGGAGGCCGGGAGGUUCCUGCCAUGCGGACAGUCACUGAGUUCCUCUCACUGAAAGGAACAGGUCCACCAUGGGUGCAGUGGUGAUGGAGCCAGAACAUGAUUUGGACUGUCCAAGGGGACCUCCAGGCCAGGUCUACAGGUACUCAAGAGUGACUUAAUUAUGACCCUAAGCUCAGCAUCCACUCUGCCAGGUGCUUCACACGUGUCACCUACCUGCAUGUCCUCUCCAUCAGAGCGACCAGCCCUGCCAUGCCGGGUGUGAGCCCCAAGUGUGGUCAGGACUCCUCUGCAGCGAGGCUUCCCCGGACAGCGCUGCUUUGCCCGUGCUUUCUGCUGUCCGGGGUGCCGUGAGUCGCCCAGGCACCCGUCAGGAGCUGACGGAACAGAACACGCUGCCUGUGAAAGGUCGUCCAGACUCUCCCUGAACUAAGUUAGGAAUCGGCCUUUUGGUAUCGAGUGAUGUUUUCACACUUCACACCACGGGCGGCAUGAAACGGUGAUCUUUCAGUGUUUAUGCACAAACUCGCCAUUGCACUCGGAGUGUCAGAGAGUGGGCCUGAUGCUAAAUCGAGAGCCUUUGAAGGUCAUCCCCAUCGAAAGAAGGACAGCUUUAGCCACCAGGAUUCUCAGAAGAUCCAGAACCCCUGCCCACCAUCCAGGAGGCAUCGUCCGUCCAGCCAUUAGACCAGGGAGAGGCAGGGUGGCUGGUGGCUGUGGCCUGGCAGCAAGGGCGGGUCAGCUUUCCGCGCCUGUCCACUCCCAGUGCAGCGGCCUGCUGGGCCGUUCUGUGGGUGGAGCAUGGUCAAGGCCACACGGUGCAUGAGGAAGAGAGCCAGAAGGGAGGGGCUGCACAAGCCGUCCUUGUGCCCAGGGACUGACUGGGCUUCAGGCGCCAGAACGGGCGGGCCCUGUCCCAGUCUCCACCAGCCCUCCCUGUGUCCCAAAUAGAGGAAAGGAUCUCAGAAACUCGCUUUCCAGUUGAAUUUUAAGUUGGGAGCGGCUGUUCCCUGUCAUUAGUACCUGAAGAGCUCAACCUUAAAGUUCACGAGCACAUCCCAGGGAGAGCACCGUCUUGGCAGCUUGGAGAUGAUUAGUUACUCCAGAAAGCUCCGGCCUCUCUGUGCUAAUUGAGUUUGAAAUUCCAGCCAGGCUGGCUGUCCCCCAGGGCAGUGUGCGCUGGAGUGUGGUGCCCGGGGAGCAGGCAGGCCUGCCCCUGCCUGCUUGGUAAAGACCAUGGACCAUCCCUCAGGAAGGCGAGGACAAGGCGCAGGGAGUGACCUGGCACAGGUCUUUCACGGAGCAGGUGUGUUCAGUCUUGACGAGGUUGCUCUUCUGUGAGGAAGCCGUUCUCUCUCCUCCCUCUCCUGACCGUAGAUACCCUCCAGUUCAGCUGUGACUGGACAGUCAGGAUGGCCUGGGCCUAGAGACCCCAGGUCACCAGGACCAACCCUCCUCAGUCAGCAUAGUUUCCAUGGCCCAGACUCCUUGGGUGACACUUGACUUCAGUGUCAGAAUGAAAGCAGCCCCCUCCACACAGAUGCAGGAGCUUGCUGCAGCAGGCUGGCUCCGCACGUCAGCCAGGGUCCCGGGCAGCCAUGCUCUGGGAAGGAGCGAGGGGCUGCAGGGAGCUGUUGCUGUCCUUGUCACAAGUGGGUGGUCAGGGCAGCUGCAUGGCUGGAUCCACCUGGGGAAGAAGGCAUGCGACGUGCAGGGUACAGGUCUCCCUUGCCUCUGUCCCCCACUGCCAUGUCCACCUCUGGGUCGCCGUCCUCUGCCUGGAACCUGCUCCCAGGGAGCCCCUCCUCCAGGAAGAGCAGCCUCCCUGUGGCCUUCAGCACUCCUGUCCCCGGGCCCUCUUUCCUGCUCUCCUGUGCACCGCUGCCGCCAUCCCCACCCCAUGGCUGCCGGGUGUGUUCACCUGGCCUCUGCCUCCCCCACAGGAGUGUCAGUGAUGAGGGCAGGGGCUGUGGCCGCCUUAGAGCCUGCCCUAUGCCCUUGCACACAGUAGGCACUUAAUGAAUAUGUGCCAUCAGAUAGAAUAAGAAGUCAGGCUCAGAGGUCUGCGCUGCUGCCGGACAGGGGCCCUGGGCCAGUCCCAUGGUCCCUCUGAGUGUGGAUUCUCCGUCGUGAGUCCGGCUGGUGAGUCGCCCUCCACUGCAGGCCUCCCGGGAACAACCACCCAGUUUGCAAACCAGCAAAGUCCAUGGGAACUUCUGAGCAUGAAGGAGCAGGGGUCUGCUGAGGGAGGAGGCAGCUAGUUCUCGGCUUCUCUGAAAACCCUGGGUCACAGACAAGGAAUGGUUAUGGUUAGGGUUAUACGGGCAACAAGCCAGCUGACCGCAUGGUGACAGCGUCCUUGUCCUGGCUGUGGGCUCCACGGCUGUGAAUGGCUGGCCACGUGAUGCUGUUCAACAGUCCUCAGCCCCUGAUGGCCACUGCCCAGAGGCACCAGGGAGAGCCCCUGGAAACCAGGUCUGGCUGUGGGAAAAGAAGGGAAGAGACGUGCUUCCUGCCUGUUGGACACCUAGAGGUUUCCUGGCAGCACUCACCAGGGCUACUGUGGCAAAAGCCACGGUCCCAGAGAUCCAAGCCCAUGCCCGUGUUUGCUCUUACUCCCUACAGACACAACCUGUCGGUCCUCGCUCACAUUGUUGCACGCAGGGCCUUCGCCCUGGGGUUGGGAGGUUCCCACUCACUUAAUGCUGCCGAGGACCCUUAGAGAGCCCGCGACAGGUGCAGCAGACAUGCAUCAGGUGAUGGCCACCUGGGGACACUGACGGGUGCUCUGAGCAGUCACGGGUGGAGAUGGUGUCUAGAAGCUUUAUUCCCGGCCAAAGGAUGAACCAGCAACUGGCAAGAGGAACAGAGUGGACAAGGCCAGGAGUUUUCCCACAGGGGCACCUCUGGGGACUGGAACUGACUCCUGACACUUCUAAGGACCUGGUUCCCCUUUGCCCCAGAAGCCAGCACAACACAGGCGCCACAGUGGGGACUAUUGACACUUUGGGGCUCAUUCAAGGCUGCUGGUCUUGCACCAGGAAUGACAUCCUGCCUCAAGCCAUGUGUGACUACCCCGUGGGCAUGUGGUCAAAAGAAUCGAGAUGUCUUCGCAGUGUCCCCCUUCCCAGGAUAGAGCAGGAGCACUCCCUUGGCCUCCUGUCCAUCCUGGACAAGAGUGAGACUACUAAACAGUCCCAGUACCAGAUCCUCCCCCCCCACACACACACACACACACGCACGCACAUGCCACUGAUUGGCUCAGGGGUGGGCGUUUGAACCACCCCAGCCGAAGACGUGCUUAUAUCUUGCUGAGUGCUAAGAGAAAAGUAGCCACUGGUUUCCACUGACCUUGAAGAGAGCCAGGUGCUGCUGGAACCUGGAAGGGGGAGCCUCCCUCUUCAGGAGUCUAGCUCACCCCUGAGUGUGGCCUGGCCAGGGUGGGGAAGGGAAAUCCCUUUCCUGCAAUGUCUAGUGACCAGCUCAGCGUUGUGCCUGCAGGCAAAAGAAGACAUUGAAAGGCCCAGAUCCGUUUCACAGAGUAGGCCAUGAAGGGUGAAUUUGAGCUAAAAGGCAGCAAAUUGAUUGAUCUUAAGCAUGAGAGGUGGUGCUUCAGGGAUCUCCAAAGGGGCUUGUGUUCCUCUCCUGGGUGUGAUCUUGCUCAGAGCCCAUUUCUUAAUUUGAGACUUUUUUUUUUUUUUUUUUUUUUUUGCCAUGUAGAGAAGCUGAGAACUGGAGAACUGGGGGGAAUGUUUUUAUUUUCAAACCCAACAAGUUUUGACUCCUUUGCAUUUUCCUUAAAUUUGCUUUAAAACUGUUGUCUUCUUAGCCCAGCCAGCUCUCUCCCCCUGGGUUGUGAUCCUCCUGCCUCGGCCUCCCAAGUCACUGCAAUCACAGGUGUAGCCACCAUGCCCAACUUGGUGACCUUUUAAUGAAAAGAUGGAAAAGGGGAAUAGCAACUCACAAGUGGACACCAGUAGAUGCCACCUUGCCGACUCCAAAAUGCCUGCCCAGUGCUCUUCACAGAGUGUCCAGGUCAUGAAAGACCAAGGAUAGAUGGGUGCUGGGAUGAUGCAAGGGGACCAAGGACACAACUAAGGGCAGCACGUGCCGGGUGGAAUCCUGGGAUGGAAAACAGAGGCAGAGAAAUGGCCAAACUAGAUGAGCCUGGCGCUGGGUGGUGGCAGGGCACCACUGCUACUUUCUUAGAGGAAAUGGGUGGGGUGUAGAAACCCUUAUCUUUGUAACCCUUUUGGAAACAAAAAGACUUAAAGCUAAAAGGAUUGGUGUGUGUGUGUGUGUGUGAGUGUGUGUGUGACAGAGUAGUUUCUCAAAUUCACAGCGGCCAUGGCUUUUGCUUAUCGAUCCCCAGUCUGGACAGGGCUGAGCAGAGAGGGCUCACAGGCCUCAGCUCCAAGGCAGUAAUUACCUGGGGGGCUCAUCCAGGGCAGGAGGGUCUGCCUCAAGCUGACCCCCGGGGGGCUGUCAGCCAGGACAGGGCCUUGGGUUGUCCCAUGUGGACCCUCCUCAGGCUGCUUGGGCUUCCCCACGGUAUGGUGCUGGGUCCCAAGCUCUUGUCCAGUGUGCCUUGGUGUCACAUGGCCUCACUCUGUCAUAUCCCAUGGACAGCCACCAUUGUGCUUGGCCCAAAUUCAAGAGAGGGGCACAGAGGCCCAGUCCCUGGAUAAGAGGAGUGUUAAGAAAGGAUGGAUGUGGGGGCUGGGGCUGGGCCCAGUGGUAGAGCGCUUGCCUAGCAUGUGUGAGGGACUGGGUUCAAUUCUCGGCACCACAUAAAAAUAAAGGAAUAAAAUAAAGGUCCAUCAACAUUUAAAAAAAAUUUUAAAUAAAGAAGAAGGGGAUGGACGUGGUAGGAAAGCAGAACGGGGCUGGCCUCCUUUCCUCCUCGUGUGGCCUGCCGUCCCACAGCCGACUCGGUCCUCACAGCACCCUGUGAGAGGCGUCUCGGUACCAGCCCCUGGAAACAAGUCUGGGCUCAGCUUCGCUCAGGGGCUGGCUGGCCCCACCCCUAGGUCCUAGGCACAUGGCAGCUGGGUAGGGGAACCCAGUGUGUUCCUAGAGCUUGUUCGUGGUCCAUGGGGGGUUGAGGGUUGAACUCUGCAAAUCCCGCCCCCCCAGCCGGGCCCUGGGUCCAACCACAGGGCUUUAGCACGUGGGCGGGGCGGGGCAGUGGGAGGCCACGUGGGGGCAACAAGCUGCAGUUUUCUGCCUGGAGAAGGUUUUCCAUUUUCACACUUAGAUGCCACCAUUUCCACCACCAGCUCCAAGUACUUUCAACCCUCUGCCCCUGCAUGUCCCUUCUAAGGGUUCCACAUCCCUUCCAUGGUCAGCCUCCCCUCCCUCCCCUGCGCUGGCUCCGUCAGGUCUUACUUUGACCUAAGAUGCAGUUUGGGUCUGAGCUGAGUGUGCUCCAUCUCGGGGACCCAGCAGGGAGCGCUGGUCCCUUUCCAGUGUCCACACGUCCACGCCUCUUUCCUAGCAGAGCUGCUGGGUAAACACUUCAUAUCCUAGCCCUUUAUAAUGAAUGAGGAGCAGCUGCUGAGGUCUCCACUUUUGCACAACUUCAGGAGGUAUCCUUAGUAGGGUGGUGGUAGGAGGAGGGAGACCCUUUCUGCCCCUUCCUCCUCUUUGCCAGCUGAAGGGCAGAUGUGAUGGCUGGCACUCAGCAACCAACCUGGACCUUGAGAUAGAAGCUAUAUGCAGAAGAAUGCAGAACCGGAAAAUAGGAAGAACCUGGCUCUCUGACGACUUUGACCCUAGUCCUUGUCUUCUGCUAUGUGAGAGAAAACAGAUCUUUAAGCCACUGUUGUUCUGGGUUUUGUCACUCACAGCUGAUUUGAUCCUAAUGGACACAAGGAUAUUGGAUGGAAAUGGACUUUAAAGAUGAUCCACGAUACAAUCUUGCUUUCCUGAUUCUCUCUCCUUACAGAAGAGAUAAUGGGACUUCCAAUCAAUGCCCCUUUUUCUGUUCCUGAGCGUGCUCAUCAGAGAUGCACUCAAGCCCAGCCAGUGUCGGUGGCUCUCCUCCUCUUCCCCCAAUUGCCCCACCCCGAUUCCGCCAGCCUCUUUGGAGAGCCAUGCACCCUCCGUGUCUCCUGGUGUUCAACACUGCUAAAGGCUGCUGAUUCAUUUUCAGUCAGGAGAAGAAGGAAUCAGCCCAUUUCUGCCUCGUGGGGAGAAAGUGGCUGCACAAGUGCAGGUGCUCUAUGCUGCAGUCACCUCUCCCCCGCUGUGAUCUAAUUUCGUGGCCAGUGUUGGACAAACAGGGCCACCUGGCUCUCUCCCUCCUGCCCCCAGCUCCCUGGCCCUUCAUGCAUUUUUCAUCUGGACUCACCACUCCUGCAACUCCUGCCCGUGAACAGCAUCGAUCGCUGAUGAAGCCAUCAAGUCCAGCAAACAACUCUACUUCUUUAACCCCAGGCCCUGUGGCUCUUGCCCCCCUGCACUGCGUCCCUGCCUUACACACUGCAGCCUGCCGAGGACUUCCCCGCCCCCGGCCCACCCCGUGCUUCUGUCAUUUGGUGAGUGUAUUUGAAGACAAAUAUCUAAGAAACCAGAUUUUGUAUGACAUUUCACCUGUCUCUUAACACAUAUCGUGGCCAGAAGUCCUUUUUAUUUGUUUUUAAACAAAAUUAAACAGAUUUUAAACAGAUCCCCCUGUUUCCAGGACCUGUAUAAAAA